GACGAACCGUGCGAACGUUGUUCGGAAUCACUGGGCUUAAAGGGCGCGUAGGCGGGUUCUCAAGUCUGUGGUGAAAUCCUCCAGCUUAACUGGAGAAGUGCCGUGGAUACUGGGGACCUCGAGGUGGGUAGGGGCAUCUGGAAUUGCCGGUGUAGUGGUGAAAUGCGUAGAGAUCGGCAGGAACACCCAGGGGGAAACCAGUCGACUGGGCAUCUACUGACGCUGAGGUGCGAGAGCGUGGGGAGCGAACCGG
rnacentral:rRNA from 1 species